rnacentral:lncRNA from 1 species
UGACUUACACGUUGGAUAAGCUUCUGGUUCUGGGCAUGUAUCCAACAAGUGAGUCAUCAGUUGUAACAAGUGAGUCAUCUUCAUAUUAUUUGGUGAAAAAUACAUAAUUGCAUAUUGUGAGGAAAUUAAUCUGAUACCUCUUAAAGAUUCUUGGAAUGUUCCUUUGGAGAUUUUGGAGAGAAAAAUACCUCAUCCAUAUGUUGACCCAAGC